CACCGCUGCGCCGGUAGUUUAGACUGCGGGGGGUGUUGGAGUAUAUUGAGCCCAUGUAUAGAGGCCCAUUUAUAGGCCCAUGUAUAGGAUCUAUAUAUACCCACCCUUCUAGGGUUUGGAGGAAUGCAAGCCACUAUUCUCUCCUAUUCCUCUCUGACAGUAUGGGCCCAACAACAUAACCGCUUUGGCUUACUGCAAUCAGUACUCUGCUUUUGCUCACUGUGCCAUCAGUAUUGGUGCUGCCUAGCCGUCGCGCACAAGUAACAAGCCCUCCUCACAAGUCACCACCAUCGUGCCCUCUGCAAUGCCCGAGCAUGCCAUCAUGGGUAGGGAGAGGAUAGACCAAUAGGAAUCAAGUAAUGGAGAGCUGAUGUUGUCUUCUAGGUAAUAAAUCUUAUCAUUUUCCUUUCCGUUGACCUCCACUUUGCCCUGACUUAAGUUUGAGUUAUGUUCAUUACCUUAGAAAAAAACUUUGAGCAAUAAUAUGCAUACAAAUGCCAACUUCUGACAUUACAUUAUGAUAGCAUGUGUGUUUUCCUUUUUCUUUUUCUUUUUUCUUUUGCGAUAAUCAUGAAGCCUGUGUUGUUUUACCUUCACUCCUUACGUGGAUCAAUAUCUUGACUAGAUUCUGAGACAGGUCAGUAAAAAGGAAGUAUGUGAUGGGUGGACAGAUUUCAUCACAGAAUGGUACAGGCAACUGGAGGUGAGGUUUGAUCAAAGGCUAUGUUGAUUUCUACCCAUUCUUAUCAGCUUGUGUCUCCAGCUUGUUUUCAUUCGCACUCUUAGCCUUUAGACCGGAUUAUGCGUUCAUUUUUUUCUAUAUUUCUUAAAUCUUUUCUCCACUGCAAAGUUUUGUUCUGGUUCCGUUAGAGCAACAUGUUAUUUUGCCUCCGUUAUCGACGAUACUCCUGAUGAUGGGAAAUCUGAUUGAUAUCAUUUGGAUUUUUUCUUUACCGAUAUGUUUGUACUUUUGGGUUGAGAAUACACGGUGUACCAUUCACCUUUCGUUUAUUUUCAAUUAUGACAUGAUGUUUUGCCACUGGUUUAAAAUGUGAAUGAAAACCAAUAGAAAAGCAUCCGAAAGAUUAAGGUGAAAAUGGAAGAAAUAUAAAUAAAAAGAAUUAAACUUGAAUAAAUUUAGGGGAAAUUCAUAUUUAUUUAUUUUUAGUUAGUUUUUCUUAUAUUUCAUUUCUAGAUUUAGUACUUUUCUUUAGUCAUUCAAAAAUCUAGCCGCUUCGAUCCUUUUCCUCGCUUGACUAUGUUUGUUUUCCAAUGCUUAGAUUUGGUCAUCAUAAGCACGAGCUUAGGCAACGGGAUUCCGUAGAGAAUCAUCAACUAUGAGUGAGCUAUUCGUGCACUAACAAUAUGGUUGCAGGUGUGUGAUCAAGCUGUGCGAUCUGGACUAAUGGAUCGCUCCGAGCUACUGAAGAUGUCAAGAAGCUCAUCGAGGCUGAAGGGGGUGAAACAUGGAAGUUGUAUGAAAAUUUUAAGUACAAGAGAUAAAAUGCUGAUAAUGCAUUUGAACUUCUAAUUAAAAUGUGUUUUCUCUACAAAUGACAAAGAGUGCCCAAUUAAUAUAUUUGCUACAUGCUAUUUAUUCCUUGUCUUAUA